CGUCAAGAUUAAGMMAUGCAUGGUCUAAGUAUAAGCAAUUAUACCGUGAAACUGCGAAUGGCUCAUUAAAUCAGUUAUCGUUUAUUUGAUAGUACCUUACUACUUGGAUAACCCGUGGUAAUUCUAGAGCUAAUACAUGCUAAAAACCCCGACUUACGGAGGGGUGUAUUUAUUAGAUAAAAAACCAAUGCCCUUCGGGGCUCCUUGGUGAUUCAUGAUAACUAUACGGAUCGCAUGGCCUUGCGCCGGCGACGGUUCAUUCAAAUUUCUGCCCUAUCAACUUUCGAUGGUAAGGUAUUGGCUUACCAUGGUUUCAACGGGUAACGGGGAGUUAGGGCUCGACUCCGGAGAGGGAGCCUGAGAAACGGCUACCACAUCCAAGGAAGGCAGCAGGCGCGCAAAUUACCCAAUCCCGACACGGGGAGGUAGUGACAAUAAAUACUGAUACAGGGCUCUUUUGGGUCUUGUAAUUGGAAUGAGUACAAUUUAAACCCCUUAACGAGGAACAAUUGGAGGGCAAGUCUGGUGCCAGCAGCCGCGGUAAUUCCAGCUCCAAUAGCGUAUAUUAAAGUUGUUGCAGUUAAAAAGCUCGUAGUUGAACCUUGGGCCUGGCUGGCCGGUCCGCCUCACCGCGUGUACUGGUCCGGCCGGGCCUUUCCUUCUGGAGAGCCUCAUGCCCUUCACUGGGCGUGCUGGGGAACCAGGACUUUUACUUUGAAAAAAUUAGAGUGUUCAAAGCAGGCCUUUGCUCGAAUACGUUAGCAUGGAAUAAUAGAAUAGGACGUGCGAUCCUAUUUUGUUGGUUUCUAGGACCGCCGUAAUGAUUAAUAGGGAUAGUCGGGGGCAUCAGUAUUCAAUUGUCAGAGGUGAAAUUCUUGGAUUUAUUGAAGACUAACUACUGCGAAAGCAUUUGCCAAGGAUGUUUUCAUUAAUCAGUGAACGAAAGUUAGGGGAUCGAAGACGAUCAGAUACCGUCGUAGUCUUAACCGUAAACUAUGCCGACUAGGGAUCGGGCGAUGUUUCUAUUUUGACUCGCUCGGCACCUUACGAGAAAUCAAAGUUUUUGGGGUUCUGGGGGGGAGUAUGGYCGGCAAGGCUGAAACUAAAAGUUUUUCGC
rnacentral:rRNA from 1 species